rnacentral:rRNA from 1 species
CCUACGGGAGGCAGCAGUGGGGGAUAUUGCACAAUGGGGGAAACCCUGAUGCAGCGACGCCGCGUGGGCGAAGGAGUAUUUCGGUAUGUAAAGCCCUAUCAGCAGGGAAGAAGAAAUGACGGUACCUGAGUAAGAAGCACCGGCUAAAUGCGUGCGAGCAGCCGCGGUAAUACGUAGGGGGCGAGCGUUAUCCGGAUUUACUGGGUGUAGGGGGCGCGCAGGCGGCAAUGCAAGCCUGAUGUGAAAGCCCGCGGCCCAACCGCGGGACUGCAUGGGGAACUACGGGGCUGGAGUGCAGGAGAGGUAGGCGGAAUUCCUAGUGUAGCGGUGAAAUGCGUAGAUAUUAGGAGGAACACCAGUGGCGAAGGCGGCCUACUGGACGGUGACUGACGCUGAGGCUCGAAAGUGUGGGGAGCAAACAGGAUUAGAUACCCCAGUAGUC